rnacentral:rRNA from 1 species
UACGAAGGGGGCGAGCGUUGUUCGGAUUUACUGGGCGUAAAGGGCGCGCAGGCGGCUAUCCAAGUCAGGCGUGAAAGCCCCGGGCUUAACCUGGGAGGUGCGUCUGGGACUGGGUGGCUAGAGAUCGGGAGAGGAGAGUGGAAUUCCCAGUGUAGAGGUGAAAUUCGUAGAUAUUGGGAAGAACACCGGUGGCGAAGGCGGCUCACUGGCCCGAUACUGACGCUGAGGUGCGAAAGCGUGGGGAGCAAACAGG